GCUAGAAUGGUAUAGUGGCUUGAGCAUUGGACUAAGACUCUGAUGACCAGGGUUUGAUUCCCUGCUAGAACA